GUGCUCACUUGGGUAACACAUAUACUAAAACUAGAAAAAUACAAAGAUUAGCACAGCCUCUGCACAAGGUUGACAUGCAAAUUCGUGAAGCAUUCCACAUUUUU